rnacentral:misc_RNA from 1 species
CAAUAUGCCACGCAUUUGGGGUGUUAUUUCCUUCUGAAUCUCCAUGUAGUUUUUGAUAGGCUGAUUCUGAGCCUCUAUAACCCAAUAAUACAGAUAGAUGUCAUGAACAUAUUCAGUAACUUCAAGAUGAUUGCAAUUAUCGUAAAUGUUUGACAAAUUUUCCAGCUUUACACUUCCACAUUGCUCCUUGAGAAACUUUGACCUUGCCAUCAGUAAACACGUAAAAGACUUCCUACGAUAAGAUUUCCUCCUGGCAAUUGAACAUUCAGGUGUAUCUAAGCUGCCAUUACUACUAGAAACAACUUCCUUUUGAUGAGGUUGCUCAGCUGAAAUAUCUGAUGUUGCAUAUUUUGACAGGGAAGAGGUACUAACAUCCUCCAGCCUUUUAUAUGGAAUUGCAACUCGAGAGGUGCAUUUGUGCACAUUUGACAUGGAGCUUGACUUUGAAAAUGGUUGUGAAUUGAGACCUCUGGCACUAAUUUUCAGAACUGUCUUGACUGAUUUUUUUCUUAAUGCCCCAAUUUCCGCCUUAGUGUGACCCUUUGGAGCCAUUCUUGCCGAGGCAUCACUAACUCGAUUUCUCCGGAUGUUGUUGUGGUUGCUCAGCUGUGGUAAAACAUCCCCUGCAGCCUUAAGCUUUGCCAAAACUGGAACACCA